rnacentral:rRNA from 1 species
UACGUAGGAGGCGAGCGUUGUCCGGAUUUACUGGGCGUAAAGCGCGUGUAGGCGGGAAGGCCAGUCUCCUGUGAAAUCUCCCGGCUCAACUGGGAGGGGGCAGGAGAUACUACCUUUCUUGAGGGCAGCAGAGGGAAGCGGAAUUCCCGGUGGAGCGGUGAAAUGCGUAGAUAUCGGGAGGAACACCAGUGGCGAAGGCGGCUUCCUGGGCUGUUCCUGACGCUGAGACGCGAAAGCGUGGGGAGCAAACCGG